rnacentral:lncRNA from 1 species
CCAGACUCCAGAUCCCUGCCUUUUCCCCCCACCGAGCAAAGACAGGCCGGUGUUUGGGGGUGGUUGUUGUUCUUUUAAAAGUAUAUUAAAGGAUCAUUGGCGUCUCCCUGUCAAGUCAUUACGCCUUUAUCCCCAUCAAUUAACCACACCUCAGAGGGCUGCUAUUAAGAGCUCAAAUGAGCUGCAAAAGUAGGUAUCCCGUUUCAGGCAGAUGUUGUUAUCUCCCGCUGAGAGGCGCGGCCGGCGGGGCCGGAUCCUCCGCUUCCCGCGACUGCCGGAGUCGCGCUGGACUAGGCUGACCGCGCAGGGCGGCGAGGCUGGAAGGGAGGUCUCCGCCCGACAAUGCGCAGGUGCCAGAGGAGCCAGGAGGAGUGAGAAGCGCCCUAGACCCGCGGCCUCAAGCGCCAUGCACGUCAAGGGGAAGUGACUCCGGAGUUGUGCCAGGAAGAACACCAAGAACGAGCUGUGCGUUUUUGCGCAGAGAAGUAGUCUUCGCAAGACCGCAGCUCCCUGCCGAAGGCCCAGAAAGGGAGUGCGGGGGAGAGGGCAAACUAUCACUCCCGAGGACUUGGGGCACGACUAUCACACGCAACUGGGAGAUCCUGGAAGACGGAGGAAAAACGAACAAGGGGACAUGGCCCUCACUGCAGUGACAGGGCUUUCCUUCAGUCAGUGGCCACAAUAAAUUUAACCAAGGCUAAAGGAGAUUAAUUUCCCAGCAUAAUCCAAUUAAAAGAUUUCUAAAGUAAUCUUUUGCGAAAAUGAAAAGUGCGCGACUAAAGAGGGG